rnacentral:rRNA from 1 species
AUUGAACGCUGGCGGCAGGCUUAACACAUGCAAGUCGAGCGGAGAUGAGGUGCUUGCACCUUAUCUUAGCGGCGGACGGGUGAGUAAUGCUUAGGAAUCUGCCUAUUAGUGGGGGACAACAUUCCGAAAGGAAUGCUAAUACCGCAUACGCCCUACGGGGGAAAGCAGGGGAUCUUCGGACCUUGCGCUAAUAGAUGAGCCUAAGUCGGAUUAGCUAGUUGGUGGGGUAAAGGCCUACCAAGGCGACGAUCUGUAGCGGGUCUGAGAGGAUGAUACGCCACACUGGGACUGAGACACGGCCCAGACUACUAGGGGAGGCAGCAGUGGGGAAUAUUGGACAAUGAGCGGAAGCCUGAUCCAGCCAUGCCGCGUGUGUGAAGAAGGCCUUUUGGUUGUAAAGCACUUUAAGCGAGGAGGAGGCUACCUGGAUUAAUACUCUAGGAUAGUGGACGUUACUCGCAGAAUAAGCACCGGCUAACUCUGUGCCAGCAGCCGCAGUAAUAC